CGCGACCCCAGGUCAGGCGGGGCUACCCGCUGAGUUUAAGCAUAUCAAUAAGCGGAGGAAAAGAAACUAACGAGGAUUCCCCUAGUAACGGCGAGCGACGGGGGAAAUUUUCAA
rnacentral:rRNA from 1 species